UACGUAGGGGGCAAGCGUUGUCCGGAUUUAUUGGGCGUAAAGAGCGUGUAGGCGGCUUCACAGGUCCGCUGUGAAAACUCGAGGCUCAACCUCGAGCUGUCGGUGGAAACCGUGUGGCUAGAGUCCGGAAGAGGAGAGUGGAAUUCCCGGUGUAGCGGUGAAAUGCGCAGAUAUCGGGAAGAACACCCGUGGCGAAGGCGGCUCUCUGGGACGGUACUGACGCUGAGACGCGAAAGCGCGGGGAGCAAACAGG
rnacentral:rRNA from 1 species